AUUUAAAUAGCUUAAGAAGAGUAUAACAUUGAAGCUGUUAGGGUGAUAAUUUAUCUUUAAAUA
rnacentral:tRNA from 1 species